rnacentral:rRNA from 1 species
UACGGAGGGGGCCAGCGUUGUUCGGAAUUAUUGGGCGUAAAGGGCGCGUAGGCGGCCGGAUAAGUCUGAUGUGAAAUCCCCACGGCUCAACCGUGGAACUGCAUUUGAAACUGUUCGGCUCGAGUCCGGGAGAGGGUAGUGGAAUUCCCAGUGUAGCGGUGAAAUGCGUAGAUAUUGGGAGGAACACCGGUGGCGAAGGCGGCUACCUGGACCGGUACUGACGCUGAGGCGCGAAAGCUAGGGGUAGCAAACAGG